rnacentral:rRNA from 1 species
GACGAACGCUGGCGGCAUGCCUAACACAUGCAAGUCGAGCGAGCGGCGGACGGGUGAGUAAUGUAUGGGGACUGCCCGAUAGAGGGGGAUAACUACUGGAAACGGUGGCUAAUACCGCUUACUAUCGGAUAACCCAUAGGGGAUUAGCUAGUAGGUGGGGUAAAGGCUAAUCUAGGCGCCGAUCUCUAGCUGGUCUGAGAGGGUGAUCGGCCACACUGGGACUGAGACACGGCCCAGACUCCUACGGAGGCAGCAGUGGGGAAUAUUGGGCAAUGGGCGCAAGCCUGAUGCAGCAAUGCCGCGUGAAUGAAGAAGGCCUUAGGGUUGUAAAGUACUGUCAUCGGGGAGGCGUUACCCGAAGAGAAAGCACCGGCUAACUCCGUGCCAGCCGCCGCGGUAAUUC